CAAAAACUGUUUAAUAGGUGAAAUUUAAAAGCAACAUUAAUGCAUGCUUAAAACAGCACAUUGUACUUCAUAAGUAUGUACAAUUAUAAUUUUUCAGCAAAAUACUAUAACUGAUAAAUUAUAAUAAAUUAGCAAAAUUUAAAUUUAAAAAAUUCAAGUAUUUAUUUGCCUCAUAAACUAGCCUCAACUAAAUUAGAAUAAAACUUGAUGUUUAUGAUUCUAUAAAGGAACCACAUGCUUUGAUAGAUUUAAUAUUGUUUUGCUGCAUAUAUGGAUAUUUAUUUGCUAUAAAAUGUAUAGGAUAAAAUUGUCAUCAUGACCUUAACAGCCUCAAAUCUAUACAUAUAAUUUAAACAUUUGUUAUAAUGAUGAAUAAUUAUAUUAUUAAAUAGAUUUAUUUUUGAAAUAUAACGAUUACUGAAUUAAGUUAAAAUAAUGCUUAUAUUUUGAUAUAAUAAUCAUAAAGAAAGUAGAAGCUAUUUUAUUUUGUUAAAGUGAAGAUAUUUACUCCUUCUAGUUCAGCUUCAUCAAUUCCAGCAUCAUACUCAGAUAGUUUUAACAUUCUGGAUAAAUCAGGUAGAGAGAAGGAAACAUGCUCCACAUUUUGCUUAUGGGAGUAUUUUACUCCAUUUUUAAAACCGAAAAGCAGACAUAUGGAGCCACGGAACAGAAUAGGGAACCCAGAAAUAGAUCCACACAUUUACAGCCUGCUGAUUUUCAACAAAGUUGAGAAGAACACAAAACGGGGAAAAGGUAGUCCCUUCAUCUGUCUUCAGAGUUUUAGAUGAUCUCCAGUCUGUUUUCCUGUAUCCUAUUUGACUUCACUUGCAACUAGUUUCCAUUGGAUUUCAUCCCAUGCAACUUUUCCAUUUUCUGUUUUGCUUUGUAUCCUUUCCACAGCUAGUCUGCAGACAUCUCUUUUAACUGUAUCAGUAAUGUACAAUAUUUUCAUUCCUAUAUUGUUUAGUGUAAAUCGAUGUUUCCAUGAUGAAAGGAAUUCUGAACCUGACUUGAUUAAAUCUAUAUGACAAUUCCAAAUUAUGGUUAACAAAGCCUCUUUAAUUUGGUUAAAAUUCCUCGCACCUUAGUCCUUUUGGUUGUGGAACAAGAACCCAGUAUUCACCAAACUGUGGGAGCAAAAGAGCUGUAACACUUCUGCUCACUGAGCUGUGGGUGGUGGGAGUAAAAGAGCUCUAACCUUUCCUCCCACUUGACAAACAACAGGAGUGAAGAAGUCAAUGGGUGUCAGGCCCUUCUACUUGCUGAGCUAUAGGAGUGAAGAAGUGAAGCAGCUGGGCACCACUCUCUCCUGCUUGCUGAACUAUGGGAGUGAAAAAGCUGCAACAACACCAUGUAGGUACGAGAAGAAAAUGUUGGAAAAACACUCCAGGAAGUUGGUCUGGGCAAAGAUUUUUUGGGUAAGACUUUAAAAGCACAGGUAACAAAAGCAAAAAUAGGCAAAUAUGUUGACCUUUUCUCCAGGAUCCCAUUAUUUUUUUAAGGUAAUUUGCCUUUGGUUUCUUUUAACCUAAUUGGGAAUACAACUUCACUCAGGUUUCAGCUCAGAUGCUACUUGUUAAGGAAUAACUUACCAAGUUACAAAGCAAUAAUAUUU
rnacentral:lncRNA from 10 species